UUGACAGUCCCGGAAUGCAAAUCCCUCUGCUUAUUCACAGAACAGGCAUAAGCUUCCUCCAUAUUGCUUCCUUCCAGCCUGACACUUCUAAGGGUGAGAGGAUUGGUUAGCUUCAAUGCCCAUUCAAUCCUUGGUCUUU
rnacentral:sRNA from 1 species